rnacentral:rRNA from 1 species
UACGGGGGGGGUAAGCGUUGUUCGGAAUUACUGGGCGUAAAGGGCUCGUAGGCGGCCAACUAAGUCGGACGUGAAAUCCCUCAGCUUAACUGGGGAACUGCGUCCGAUACUGGAUGGCUUGGAUUUGGGAGAGGGAUGCGGAAUUCCGGGUGUAGUGGUGAAAUGCGUAGAGAUCCGGAGGAACCCCAGAGGCGAAGGCGACGCCCUGGCUCGUACCUGACGCUCAGCCACGAAAGCAUGGGGAGCGAACGGG